rnacentral:tRNA from 1 species
GAAGGAAUAGCUCAGUGGUAGAGCGCGUGCUUAGCGUGCACAAGGUCCUGGGUUUGAUCCUCAGUACCUCUA